GGGGUCUUUGGGGUGGCAAUGGGGGGCUGCGGGAUUUGGGGCGGCAUUGGGGGUUUUUGGAAUGGCAUUGGGGGGCUGUGGGGAUUUGGGGCAGCAUUGGGGUCUUUGGGGACCUUCUGCCACCACUGGGGUCUUUGGGGCUCUUUGUUGGCCAUCAUUGGGGUCUUUGUUGGUCCUUAUUGGGGUCCUUGGGGUCUUUGGGGACCUUCCACCAUCAAUGGGGUCUGUGGGGCUCUUUGCUGGCCAUCUUUGGGGUCUUUGUUGGCCAUCAUUGAGGUCUUUGUUGGCCAUCAUUGGGGUCUGUAGGAACCUGGGGUGUCAUUGGGGUUUUUGGGAACCUUCCACCACUGUUGGGGUCUUUAGGGCUCUUUUUGGCCAUCAUUGGGGCCUUUGGGGCUUUGUUGGCCGUUUUUGGGGUUUUUGUUGGCCAUCGUUGGGCUCUUUGUGCCCCCCCAUAAUUGCACCCCAAACGGCCGCCCCACAGCGAUGGGGUCAGACAGACGGACAGACAGACAGACUGGGGACGGACAGACGGCCCCAAAUCCGGCAUCCCCCCCCCCGCCCCCAAUGGCCGACCACCCCGCCGGGCGGCUCGUUAAUCCCCGCUAAUUACGCCGCCAGCCGCCGUCUGGCCAGCAGCAAUUAACGCCCGCAGCGUUAAUUAAAGGCUAACGAGGGGCAGGGGGUGGGGCUGAGCCAAAACCCCAAAGAAUUGACCCAAAAUGGGGUAAAAACGGGGCGUCGGGAGGAUGGGGGGGGGGGGGGAAAUGGGGCAGGGGAGGGAAAAGUGGGGCGAAACCCCAAAGGUUUUGGGGUCGGGAUGGAAAACGGUGACAAAAAAACGAAGAUUUUGACCCAAAAUGGGAAACGGUGACCAAAAAGGGGCGAAACCCCAAAGGUUUUGGGGUCGGGAUGGAGGGUGGCGACCAAAAUGGGGGCGGCGACCCCCAAGCUGGGCCAAAAUCCUGGGUGUUUCGCCCCCUUUUGGCCACAUUCCCCA
rnacentral:lncRNA from 1 species